rnacentral:lncRNA from 1 species
CCUGUGCGCACACACAUGGGCCCCUCGUUUUAACCUCCUGCCGCCUUACUCUCUCCAGGUGGACUGAACAAACAGUGAGCCGGCACGGGAUGCAGUGGAGCAUGUUCAUCGGUACGAGUGUUGGACAAUGGAACCAAAACAAUUGCUUUUGUGGGAGUUCGGCUCAUUGCAGGGGCAAUCUAUGACCAAUGCUUUAUGCUACUGACAGACUUCGGAUGCUUUGCAAAGGCUGUAUUUUCAUUCAUAGACCACUUCUUUUAGAGGUGAGCAAAACCCGCAUAUUAUAAUGAGUGGUUUGCUUAUUCGUCUGUUGGUGCAGUCCCUAUCCUGCCCCCUCUGCUGGCUUGUUCCUCUGCCUUCCUGCUGCUACUAAUCACAAUUCAACCACCAGUCUGCAAAGAGCUGCCCAAAGCUCUGCAAGUAAAAAGUGACUCUGGCAGGCCCUAGACCUAAAUGUUAUCAGAGCAGUGUACUAUAUAUCACAAUGACUGGCAUCUUUACCACAUAAAGCCAU